ACAUUAAUUAUUCUUCUCUACUUUUAUCUCAUCUUUGCUUUUCUUCUAUUCCGUGAGAUCGAGAGACCGGAAUUCCUGUAGAUCUCGGUGAAAUGAAGCUGCUAGGAUGGUGGCUGAUGCUGGUGGGUUCGCUCCGAUUAGCCUCCGUUUGGUUUGGAUUCUUCGACAUAUGGGCCUUGAGGCUCGCCGUCUUCUCAAACACUACCAUGACUGAAGUUCAUGGAAGGACAUUCGGAGUGUGGACUCUCCUAACAUGCACCCUUUGCAUUCUCUGUGCAUUCAACCUUGAGAAUAGGCCCAUUUAUUUGGCGACAUUUUUGUCGUUCAUCUAUGCUUUGGGGCAUUUCUUAACCGAAUACUUGAUAUAUCAUACCAUGUCCAUUGCAAAUCUGACGACUGUUGGCAUCUUUGCGGGUACAUCAAUAAUAUGGAUGCUGCUCCAGUGGAAUGCACACCAGAGAAUUCACCCCAAACAUUCUUAAAAUGAGUAGAUGCUCAAAUUUAAUCUGUGAACAAACUUAUUUUCUUUGAUUCAGGGCAUUGAAUAAACAAAGAAAAUUAGAUUAGCUUCGGAAACACACCUUCUAAAUCAUUGUGUACUCGGUACGAUUUAGCCUGCUUUUGUUGGUUUGGUAUAAUGCUAUGGUGAACUGCUGAUGGUGAUGGUCUACCAGUUCCAGCUUGUACUGAAAAGGAACUAAUUGAGCUGCCAUCACAAGGAAGCAAGCCAUUGAGCAUGGGUACAUGCGUCGAUUGUGGGACAACAGGAAAGGCAUUGGCUUGGCGGAAUUGACAGGUCCUGACCUCCUCCCACAGCAGCAGGUGGAUCGAUCAUAUGAAAGUUCUUUUCCAAAAUUAAUCUGUAAGUCAUUUCAAUGUUUUAGUGCUCAGAAUGAUGGAUGUGAUAUCCAAGUAAAGCUAUCCACGCAUUCAAAGAAAAUAAACAUGCACUUGAUUUCAAAUCACCCACCUUGGUUGCUUCCUGUAUAAAAAGGUAUAAUUGUUUGG